rnacentral:rRNA from 1 species
CUAACGGCUGAACUGGCAACUUGGAGAAGUGGCAAGUCUUCCAGUAUGGGGAGCAAAACAGCUAUGGGUCAAGUCCGAUAUCUUUAGGAGAAGUCUUAUUGUGAGGGCGAGUUAUAUAACACCGUAGGACUGGCCGUCCCAUAUGAAAAGAUUAUAUUAGAAUUGAAUGAAGCUUUGUUUAUAUAUUGAUAAUGACAGUAUAUAUAUCGUGUCUUGACUAAUUGCGUGCCAGCAGUCGCGGUAAUACGUAAGAGACUAGUGUUAUUCAUCUUAAUUAGGUUUAAAGGGUACCCAGACGGUCAAUAUAGCUUAUAAAAUGUUAGUACUUGACUAGAGUUUUAUGUAAGAGGGCAGUACUUGAGGAGGAGAGAUGAAAUUUCGUGAUACCAAAGGGACUCUGUAAAGGCGAAGGCAGCCCUCUAUGUAAAAACUGACGUUGAAGGACGAAGGCACAGAGAACAAACAGGAUUAGAUACCCAAGUAGUCUUUGCAGUAAAUGAUGAAUGCCAUAGGUUAGAUUGGUCAAUUAUAGUCUAGAGUUAGUCUAGCAAACUAAUACCUAUACUAUUAUACCUAAUAUCUGGUCUAUAAAUGAAAGUGUAAGCAUUUCACCUCAAGAGUAAUGUGGCAACGCAGGAACUGAAAUCACUAG